rnacentral:rRNA from 1 species
CCCUUAGAUGUUCUGGGCUGCACGCGCGCUACACUGAGUAAUUCAAUGGGUAAGGGAACGCUAGAGCAUUACCUAAUCUUGAAAUUUGCUCGUGAUGGGGAUCGACGGUUGCAAUUUUCCGUCGUGAACGAGGAAUACCUUGUAGGCGCAUGUCAUCAUCAUGCGCCGAAUACGUCCCUGCCCUUUGUACACACCGCCCGUCGCUCCUACCGAUUGAGUGAUCCGGUGAGGCUCUGGGACCUGGACGGAAAGAGCGUUUCGCUUGUUCUGUUUGGGAAACUUGGUCGAACCUUAUCAUUUAGAGGAAGGAGAAGUCGUAACA